GUGUUGUAUGAAAGGAGAGAAGGUUAGAUGGUCUUCAUUACCCUAGAAAUAAAGGGUAGCAGCAAAAAACACAAAGCUUUAUUUUGAGAUUAGCCCAAACCCUGUUAGUUUAAAAGUGUCAAUGUUUU